AAGAAGAGGAAGUCAAGCAUGAAUAUAGAUGAUGGUGCAAGUUCAUCAUCACAAAUUGUUUGUCAUGAUAAUGAGUUAUCAAAAGCAAAGGAUGAUUUAUAUGCAUUUUCUAAAUCAGAAGAUGAUAUUGAUGAUGGAGAAUCUAGAGAACAAGAAACUUAAUAUCAUUGGGAUGAGCAUAAUGCAAAUGAUGACUUAUUAGAUGGAUAUGAAAGUGGCAAUGGAGAUUAUGGGCUAAUGUCAGAAUUAGAAAAAGAGCAUCCUUUUAUUAAAAUGUCCAUUUGUUGGGUCGUCAAAUGCUUGUAGAUGGAAUAGAACCUGUUGAAUUCAAAGUUGGACAAGUGUUAAAAUAUUUUCAAUCUUUUGCGUGGGCUCUAAAGGAUUUCUGUAUACAACAAAAUUUCAAAGGAAAAAGAACUAAGUUUAAGAGAAGAAGAGUUGUAUGUAUAUAUUAUAUAGACAGGCGCCUCUUCAAAGAACAUGUACUACUUUGGAGAUUUGGACAAUGUUUUUAGAUCACAACCUUACACAGUAUAUAUACUUGUGAGGAUCUUGUCAAAAAUCCAAAGCUUACUAUUGGUUAGAUUGUAAGGAAGAAUAAAGUGACAGAUGAUCCAAAGACUACUGUAGGUAGUCUCAUUGACGAUCUUAAGACAAUGUAUGAAGUAGAGGUAGAUCUCUAGGAAGUUUACAGAGCAAAAAAAAGAUAUUUAAGUCAGUUACUGCUGGAGAUCAUGUUAAAAUCUUUAGACAACUUUGAAAUUUUACUCACAUCAUUAAAAAAACAUAUGCUAAAGGCUUUAACAUUGCUUAAAGUAACAAAAAAAAACCUACAGAUAAAUGCAAAUUCCAAAGGUUCAUGGUGAGCUUUAUAUGUCUUAGAUAUGGCUUCAAGGAAGGGUGUAGGCCAUUUAUUAGGCUGGAUGGUUGUCAUUUAAACAACAAAAUCGGCUUUGAACAGUUAAGAAUAUAUGUCGUUAAAGGAAUGUAACGGCAUAAAUUGACAUGCUUUUGAUCCACAAGCUGUUAAAAAUCACAUACUUUUUACGGCAUUAAUAUGAUUUUGUUAUUUAUGCCGUUGAAAAAAUUAUAAAGCUAAAAAUGUUUGCCAUCAUAGAUAAAUUUAAUAGCUUUUACCACUUUUCUAUUUUAACCAAAGACGAGCUAUUGCAUUUGCCAAUAAAUUAUGAGUUGAUAGCUAGCUUUAACAAAUGUUAUGCAAAUGAAUAUUCUGGUGAACAAUUUCAGUCAAAUGACAAUCAAUAAAAUUAAAAAAUCAAACAAUUCCAACUUUACAUAUAUCAUAAACAAUAUCUCUUCCAUUCAUGAAAUACAAUUAUGAAUACAAGAAUUUGUACUGUCAAAUUGUCAAGUGGCAAUCCAUAAAUUUGAAACCAAUGCAUACACAACACUUAAACAAUGAAGUUGUUAUAUUUCGACAAAAUGAAAAAUGUACAACUAAAACAAAUCGAUUGAAAAUUUGAUAAAAGAAAAGAAAUUUUAACUUUUAAAAAAAAGUUCUUCAACUUCUUCCUCUUGAACUCAUGUGCCCUUAUAAGUAAAAUCCAAAUCAUUAUAUUAAAAAAAUGAUAAUAAAAUUAAACUUAGCAUUUAAAUUAUGUGUGUGUGCUAGCAAAUGAUUUCAUUAUCAAAGAAAGCAAACUGAAUAUAUUUCUUUAACACAAAUAAUCAAACAGUUGGUAUGCUACCAUAUUCUAUAUACCCAAAGUGCAAUUUAUACAUAUCUCUAGCAACAAUUCUCCUAGAAAAAUGAUCAAGUUUUGGACAUGCUUUACUUAUAGGUUUCUAAAACCCUUCUUUCUCAAUAAAACUAAAAGUCAAUUCAUCAAUGAUCAUUUCAAUGCAUGCUUUUCUAAGUUCUUUUUUGCUACAAGACAUUGCCAAAAGACUACCCCUACCAUCGAUCAUGUUAUCCUAAAAAACGAAGGGAUUUUGUUUUGAAUCAAAUUUCAUAUCAACAUAGACUGUACAUAUUAACAAGUGAUUUGAUGAAGUACGAAUCCCAAUAAGUCUAGAAUAAUACACAUACACUUUAUAUUAGUAGUCAGACUUACAUUUUGUAUCAUUCUCAAUUUUUGCGUAAUGUUCCCAUACUUUUGAAACUCUCCCUCCUCUUCUCUAGCUCAUUUGUGUAUUAGUAACACUUUGAGUUCUUGGAGGUGCAGAGAUAUUACCUCCUUUAGCAUUACUAGAUGAAUUUGCUUGCAUCUGUAAGGAAAAAUUUUAAGAUGUAAGGAAAAGUUUUAAGACAUAUGAAAAUUGUCAUUAUGUUAUUAAAAUUAACAAAUAAAGAUAAUAAUAAUCAUAUUUGUGCUAAUUUGAUUGAGCUUGACACCUUAACAACCAAAAAUUGACCAAUUUGUUUCAUCAAAAAAUAUUAUAGAACAUUGAAUAAUUGUAUCCAAAUCGAUUGGGCUUGACCUGUUAACAACCAAAAUUGAUCAAUUUGUCUCAAAACAAUAAUCGACUAGUAAAUUGAAAAGAAAUAAGUGUUGGGGAAAAAUUAGGUUUUUAAAUUUUUUAUAAAACCUUUUAAAGAUCGCUCUCAUAUAAUAUAUAAGAAUUUGUAAUCUAGAAAUCGUACCUUGAAAAUCCGAUUUGGCUUUGUCCGUUGAAGUGAUUUAGGCUCCUAAAUCACGAUCCACCACCACCACUCCUGUUAGAUCACGAUCUGUCACCACCACGCUUGUUAGAUCACGAACUGUCACCAAUGAUCUUCCAGGUUAUGACUCAGGUUCGAUCUGCACUUGACGUGUGGGUGCCUUUAUCACUACCAAAGCAACUAGCACAAGAAAAUUUUUCUCUCAACAAUAGAGAGAAAAAUCUUAUUCCCCAAUCUGUAUAAAGUGGCUGCUCACUUUUCUUUAGAGAAAAUAAGCCUUUUAUUAUCACCCUUUAGUGAAAACCCUAGGCUCCAAAUAAUCCAAAAACAAAACCCACGUUAUUUUCUUUUUCAAUAGGGAACCCACCUUGUAAAAUAACAUAAGGCCCCUUACACAAAAGCUAAUUAAAUGGAGCCUCCCACUAAAUGAUAUAUUUAGGCUUUUGACCCAAAUAGCUAGUUAUCUUACUUAUUAGUCCAGUAGUGGUGCAGUCAAUUAAAUGAGAUAACCCUGGGAUCAUUUGGGAACAUACAAUAGUGGCUACAAUAAUUAGGCCUGUAAUUAAACUAGCCUAAUUAUUUAAUUCCAAAUCUACUCCACUAAAAGAUUGGAACUGACUUCCAUAAUUGUAUGCUCGAAUAAUAAUUCAUCCCAAGCCACAUUGAUUUCUUUACUGCACAAUCCUUUGUACCACAUCGUUAAUUAAAUUGAUAUCUCAACUGUCCAAUCAAUUUAAUAACAUCUUAUUCCUUGAUCCUUACUGGUUUUCUCUAAUGAUCAUUUUCAACAUACCAAAUAUGUUGACACACUCUGGCCAGAGAAUUCUAUGAUCAAGUACCGAAAACCUAUCAAGAGAUGUGUUGUACAAAUUCUAUAUUUUUAAUAUAUAACUCCAAUACUCAUAAUUGCUCCCACCAAAAUACCGGGUAAUCUUGACCACAAGGAUGUGUCGUGCCCAUUGGUAACUCAAAUGAAAUAACAAUUAUAAUCAUGAAAUCAUAAUUAACUCAAGAUUAAGAUUACAGUAAAAUCAAUGCCUAUGAGAUUUAAUAAGUCUGACAGUUAUUACAAAGUUAAUUAAAUUUCAUAUGUGAUCCUGUUCAAUGUAGUCGUACUACAUCAAUAAAUUCAUACAUGAUUAAGACAAAUCAUUCAAUGAAUUUAUUACAGUCUAUACCUAAAUAAUGUGCCCAACUUUAUUUAUCAACUGCGAACUAAAUUUAUUUAAUCAUAAGAUAACUUGUAUUUAUAUCUUCUGUGAAUCCACAUGGUGAUCACAUAAAUACAUAUAAUAUGAUUAAAUGGACUUUAAUACAAAUAUUAAUGCAAUUAAGAUAUUUGAAUAAAAUACCUCAUUAAUUUUAUUAAUCAGAAAAAAUAUUUAUUACAAUUAAAUAAACACAUGUGCUUUUAAAGAGUAUAUUUUCCCAACAAUAAGAACCUAUGUGCUUAUGUUGCCGUUCAGAAAGGCUUGUGAGUUGUGAUGUUGUGUUCUAUU
rnacentral:lncRNA from 1 species